rnacentral:rRNA from 1 species
CAUGCAAGUCGAACGGCAGCACAGUAAGAGCUUGCUCUUAUGGGUGGCGAGUGGCGGACGGGUGAGGAAUACAUCGGAAUCUACCUUUUCGUGGGGGAUAACGUAGGGAAACUUACGCUAAUACCGCAUACGACCUUCGGGUGAAAGCAGGGGACCUUCGGGCCUUGCGCGGAUAGAUGAGCCGAUGUCGGAUUAGCUAGUUGGCGGGGUAAAGGCCCACCAAGGCGACGAUCCGUAGCUGGUCUGAGAGGAUGAUCAGCCACACUGGAACUGAGACACGGUCCAGACUCCUACGGGAGGCAGCAGUGGGGAAUAUUGGACAAUGGGCGCAAGCCUGAUCCAGCCAUACCGCGUGGGUGAAGAAGGCCUUCGGGUUGUAAAGCCCUUUUGUUGGGAAAGAAAAGCAAUCGGCUAAUACCCGGUUGUUCUGACGGUACCCAAAGAAUAAGCACCGGCUAACUUCGUGCCAGCAGCCGCGGUAAUACGAAGGGUGCAAGCGUUACUCGGAAUUACUGGGCGUAAAGCGUGCGUAGGUGGUUGUUUAAGUCUGUUGUGAAAGCCCUGGGCUCAACCUGGGAAUUGCAGUGGAUACUGGGCGACUAGAGUGUGGUAGAGGGUAGUGGAAUUCCCGGUGUAGCAGUGAAAUGCGUAGAGAUCGGGAGGAACAUCCAUGGCGAACGCAGCUACCUGGACCAACACUGACACUGAGGCACGAAAGCGUGGGGGAGCAAACAGGAUUAGAUACCCUGGUAGUCCACGCCCUAAACGAUGCGAACUGGAUGUUGGGUGCAAUUUGGCACGCAGUAUCGAAGCUAACGCGUUAAGCUUCGGCCGCCUGGGGGGUAGGUACGGGUUCGUCAAAGAACUUGAAAAACUAUC